GACGUGGCGCAGUUUGGUAGCGCGCCUGCUUUGGGAGCAGGAUGUCGCAGGUUCGAAUCCUGUCGUC
rnacentral:tRNA from 7 species